GACGAACGCUGGCGGCGUGCCUAACACAUGCAAGUCGAACGGAAAGGCCCUGCGUUUGUGGGUUGCUCGAGUGGCGAACGGGUGAGUAACACGUGAGUAACCCGCCCUUGACUUUGGGAUAACUUUAGGAAACUGGGGCUAAUAUCGCAUAGGAGCUCCUGCUGCAUGGUGGGGGUUGGAAAGUGUCGGCGGUUUGGGCUAGACUCGAUGCUUAUGAGCUUGUUUGUGGGGUAGUGGCUUACAAAGGAUUAGACGGGUAGCCGGCCUGGGAGGGUUGCCGGCGACAAUGGGACUAAGGGACGCAUCAGUCUCCUAUCGGAGGCAGCGGUCGGAAACAUUGCGCAAUGGGGGCACGCGUGUGGCAGCAAUCUUGCGUGCGUGAUGAUGGCCUAUGAGGGAUGAACCGCUUUCUACUGUGACGUAGAGGUAGUGACGGUACUGGGUAAAGAAGCACCGGCUAACUACGUG
rnacentral:rRNA from 1 species